rnacentral:rRNA from 1 species
GCCUACGGGGGGCAGCAGUGGGGGAUAUUGCACAAUGGGGGGAACCCUGAUGCAGCGACGCCGCGUGAGCGAAGAAGUACCUCGGUAUGUAAAGCUCUAUCAGCAGGGAAGAAAAUGACGGUACCUGACUAAGAAGCCCCGGCUAAAUACGUGCCAGCAGCCGCGGUAAUACGUAUGGGGCAAGCGUUAUCCGGAUUUACUGGGUGUAAAGGGAGCGCAGGCGGCCUGCCAAGUCUGGUGUGAAAACCCGGGGCCCAACCCCGGGCCUGCAUUGGAAACUGGGAGACUUGAGUGCAGAAGAGGAG